UUCUCUUUCAUAUUCCAUUAGUUAUUAGUGGUUUCUCUUAUCUGAUGGGUUCCUUUUUGCAGUGGAACAUGCUCAGUGAUUGUUGUAACUUAUGAAAAACAUCAAAGCGAUAUUCCGAGAGGAAGAGGAAGAAGAAAAAAACUAUCAUGCUUUAAAAACUACUCUAGAAAGAGUAGUCUUGAUCGUGGCCUUGUAAAAAUGCAAGACCAACACUGUCUUUACACCAGCAAGAUCAAGAUCAACAUCAAAUUAGAAUUAUUAAGAAAAACGUAAACAUAGGAUUAAAUGACUAAGAAUUAACACACAAGACCAAGAAUAAGACCAUAUCAAUAAGACGAAGACCAAGACCGAAUAAGCAAGACC